UCUCUCCCUCACAUGGAAUUUUCGAAAAUCAUCUCUCUCUCUCUCCCAAAAUUUUCGACCAACACAAACAUACACUCAUCUUCUCCAUUACUCAACUCCACCAUUUUCCUCCAUUAAUGGGAACCUUCGAAGCUUCCUAAAAUUUUACCAAACACUUCAAACCACUCUAAUAUCCUUCAUAAACAUAUUCUAUCCACUUUUAAACAAGAAAAUCCUUGAAGAAGAAGCUCCAAAGUAGAGUGAGAAAGUUUGAGUUUUGGUGAAGAACUUGAACACGAGCAGAGCAAGGAAGUAAGUAACUCCACUUUGACGGGAGUUUUUGAGUAAGGUCUUCAGGCUAAGCAAGGAGUGAGAUUGGUCUGGUGCUGGUGGGGGAUCGUUAGAUGACGUAUUUACUUUAUCGUAUUUCCUUUUUAUCGAUAAAGUCUUGUUGUGAAGUUACUUUAAAUAUAAAUCAAGUAAUAUACUCACGGUUAUGUGUCUCCAUACAUGUAACUGGUUCGCCUUUUGCUGCGAUACUCUGCAUAUUAUGUUUCCUUAUGAAAAAUAAGCUAUACCUGUUUUGUUUUUGUUCGUGAAAUUCCUGAUAAUUAAAAAGUUAUAACGACGUUGACGAUUUUACCCUUGGGUUCAAUUAAUAAUAUUUUCCUUAGCAUGCUUUGAUGUGAGCUUCCGCUUGAUGUUCGACCUAUUCUUCUUAUCUUUUAUUCUUUAAAAAUAGUCGUAUCGAUACUCGUACCCCACUAUCACUA